UCAGAAUUUGGAAGGGAUUGUUCCUGUGUGUUCUAGGUUCCAAGGUUGCUGUUGAGACAUCUGAUAUCAUUCUGACUUAUGGUCCCUCUCACAUCAUUUUUGGUUUCUCUCUGAAAAUUUUUAGAAUUUUUUUUAAUGCCAGGUGUUCUGAAAAUUGUUGGUGAUUUGUCCUAGUGAAUUCCAUGAGGCCAAGGGCCGUGUUUGCUUUAUUAACUUCUAAACACCAUAUCCAACAUUUCAGAAAUGUUUGUUGAAUAAAUUAAUGAAGAAUGACAUGGAAAGGAAAGGUGGAAAUGUACUAUAAGCAUAAAGGAAUGGCAUGUGUGAAAGAUCAGGUGGGAGAAAUAAAGUGCUCCUCUCUCCAUCCUGCAUAGCAGCACCACAUGACUCUUCAUAAGGCUACAGUUCUCUCCCUUCAUUCUCCUGCUCCCUGUGCAUCUGAAGUUACUCAUUGCUGCUAGAAAAAUGUCCAAACUUUGGCUCAAUCCAUCUUCCAAGCCUCAGAGCAACAACAGUCAUUGAAACAGAUGCCAGUUGAAAUUGAUUGUGCUACUUACCUUCAGUUUCCUAAGCUGGAAAUACAGUAUUUCCUCAACUUUUGUAAGAUAUGAUGCUGCUGCUGAGACAAUGUUUGAGACU
rnacentral:lncRNA from 1 species